CAAUACUGUGUGGUUUGUUAGAUUUUUUAUAUAUAAAAAGAUAUCUGUAAUCAGAUCAGCCAUAACAGUCGUUGAAAGAAGAAAUAAUGGCAAUAAGUCCAAGUGGAAGAAGCGAUGUGUAUUGGGUUGAUGGCAGAUUGCAAGUUGGCGAUGACUUCUGGCCACCGCAAAAGCACACAGACAAGACAUAUAAACUAUCCCGAGCUACCACAAUAAUCGUAAAAAAAGAUCGCGUGGAAAUAAUUCAUUUUAAUAAAAGUAAUGAAUUGAGUGUAAGCAACAAAGUAACAAUCGAACUUAAUUCAAAACAGUUGGAUUGUGUUAAAACUGUUCUAGAUGUUGUGGCAGAUGAAAUAAAGAAAGUAAGUAACGAAAAUGUUUUUCAGCAUCUUCUUCCUGAUAAUGUUCUACUUCGUGUUGGUGAGUUUGAACACGACGAUAAGACUAAAGGUACCUACAAAGGAGUAAGUAUUGGAAAGUCUCAAGAUGUAAAGCAGAACGGAGAAGCAACUCCAUUGAGAAAUGGAGUUACACUUACAGAAGAGGAAUGGAAACAGUUUUCGAGCUCAAUAAGAGAUUGAAAUGGACAAAAAACAAAUUGUUUCCAGCAACCUUGUCACCAUUGCUUUUAUACUUAUAUACUAAAUAUGCAUAGGGUUCAGUCUAUUGUUGUUAAAAUUAAAAUUCUAAAAUAAAAUUAAGAUUUGUAAUCGUUUUGUAGAUUGUGACCUCAAAAAUGAAAACUGUUGAUUUAAACACAAAAUCUGAUCCUGUGAAUCGACCAAGGAAUGAUUAUGAAAAUCUUUCAUUGAGUGUUGUUCAGAGAAUACAAGGAUAACCUCGACCCCAAGGCUUGUCUCUAUAAUUAUACGAGGAGUGUGUCUGUAACAGGCAAAGUGGAUUAUAUUUGUUACAAUCUUCUUUAAAGUCACAGACAAUUGUUAUUUUGUUCAAAAGUUUUAAUUCAUUUUAAAUAUUAAAUUUUAAAUGUUAUUUAGUGGAUUCUCCCAAGGGAUUUUCGUUUAAACCUUUUCAGCCUUCUUAACGGAGUUGCUAACAAACAUUUUGCGAUAAGAAGCAUAAUAAAUUUUAAAAAGACAAUUAGUGGAUAAUUUCACGGGUUUAAAUGAUUAAAUAACAAAAAAUAACAUCUUAACAACAUCUGAGCUUUAUUUGUACACAUUUUUUGAGUCAUUCCUACACUUUUGACGGAAAUUAUCGACUUUUAUUUUUAAGAUUAUAUUCAACCUGGGCGUUAUAUAUGUUUUUUUAAUUCAUGGUCAAUUUACUGCUGGACGGAGUAUAUUUGAGAGUAAAGAUAUGUCUGAA